UGCAGUUAUAAUCGUUGUUAACUGUCGCCGGAGGGAACCAAAAUAAGGCCGUUUUUUUUCUGCGUAGAAGAAUGGGAAGAGUAGCAAGAGCCAGCAAUGUUACUGUAAAUUGACACGAAGCGUAAGAAGGUAAGAGGUUGGCAAAUGGAACACUUUUUCCAUGCUCAGGUUACGCUGCUCGCUUGGUUUUGAUCUUUGACCCUGAAGGUGAUAGCACGAGUAUGUUUGCCCAAAAGGCCUAUGAGAUUGACCAAAAAUUGUCCCACAAUCGACGUGUUGGACCUGCCUGCUUUACAUGAUGCCACAUAAUCAGAAGUAAUCCAAGGCAACCGCAUAAAAGAGAAAACAGCUUUAUACUGUGCAGCAGAGUCCUUAAUCACAACAGCCUGUACAUGUGAAGAUGAAAUCAAGAUUACAGGAACUGGAUAUGGAACCAAACUGCUGCUUGAAAUAGGACCAGUCACACAGUCCCUGAUCACAGCCAUUAAUAUCCAGAAGGUGUUCGUUAAAGUAUAGCUGAACUCUGUAUGGCUCACCUGCAUCACAUCUUCCGUGCCGAGGCUAUGUAACAAGGACCGAUUGCCAUUAAUGGGAGAGAAUUGAGGCGGCAGUUAGAAGAGUGGGAGUUUGGUGUGAGAUGGCCACCAGCCUGUGAGGACAUGAGCCCGAGAGUGGAGGGACAUGUACCGUUGGAAGACAUUACCAAGCGGCAGAGUGAAUGCCGUGACUGAGAACACUGUUCUUUGUUUGAUAGUGAUUUGUAAAGUGUAGUCAUGAGUUGUGUGUUAAAAUGUCCAAUAAAUCCAAUUACCAAUCCAAAUCCCGUGUCUACUUAACAUGUGUAGACAGUAUUCUGAUGUACUUUCUUGGAAGAACUUAAUAAUUCUAUUUUAUUUUAAAUUUUUAUAUCUGUAUGGAGCCGAUAGUGGAAUGAUGUGCUUUUUAUUUAUCCUUCAGUAUAUUUGCUUGAAUGUAGAUAUCCUGUGUUGAAAGAUUUCCAGAUAUAACCACAAUGUGUCGCACCGUCUCUAUGUUUGAAAAUUUCAACAAAGAAAAUACUCCUACGUAAUUUUUUAGUAUGAACUUCAUAUCGAAGUUCACAUGAACAGUUACAGUGUUUCUUUAAUUACUGCUGUCAAAAUCAUUCUGAAUUUUCGCAGUCUCCAUGUUCGUGUUUUGUAUUUAAUCAACAGAUUUGUUUUAAAAUAAAUUGCAUACUUUUUCAGUGAGUUAUUUCUCCACAAAAACUCAUGCAGGUGUCACCAAAUACCCAGUAAGUUCACUUAAUGCACUUGACAAACACCAGAUCAACUCAAAAUUGAUUUGGGAUUGCCACCAAACUCUCAGGGACUGGACAAACAUAACGGUACCACUGAUAUGGGUGCUCGGGCAUGAGGGUAUUGCUGGAAACAAAAUAGCAGACCAAUUGGCUAAGGUUGGAGCUGAAU